UUACAGGACAGAACCGAUCCCUUGGCAUUGUCUGACGAUAUUCAGAUUUCAGACUUUAUUGUCAUUGUGCAAACAACGAAAUUGGGGUUCUUCAUGAGAGAUACAGAUUCUCAUCAGAGGGUGUUCGUUGUUUGAUCGUCCUUUUGGACCUUAUGUAGACAAUGAUUACUGUUGCGCAUUGUGUCUCAGUGACCGAGUGCUAGAGUGGAGGUAGCGCGUCAGUCUUGAGUUUCUGCGCGGGGGGUUCGACUCCCAAUAACGUGAAUUUAUGUGAAGCUUAAAAAGUCCUAAUUCUCGUCAUGCAUAUGGAAUACUUAUUCACUAAAGCUUAUGGAAUUAUAUUUUUGUGCUUAUUUCGAACUUGAACCCAUAUUUUCAAGUCCGUGCUGGCACCACAUCUUGGUAAAAUGCAUGAUGAUAGACCGGCGAAUUUGAACCCCGGUCGCUGGCGUUCGGGUCUUAUACUAAUCCACUACGCUACAGCCGCUACCUCUCAGCGGUCCAAAACAUGCGAUACAUUUCUUAAAUAGGGUGUAUUUAAAGUGAAUUCCCUAAAUUAUAGAAUAAGGCAGGAUGGACGUUGCUUAUGGAUUUUUAAAUCAUCAUCAUUCUAUUUGGAUUAAUGGCGAACAAUUCUGCAUUUGGCAUAGUUUUUUUACAGACAAUAUGCAGAAUCUUUUCACUUAUACUCAUAUAGACUGCUUGAUCUAUCGUAAAGGUGAGAAAAAUGACGCAAAAAACGCCCCUUUCACGUGAACGCGCACUGAACCUAAGGCGGAAAACCUGGUUCAACUAAUUGAAUCUAAAGUGAGCUUCGUGGUACCAUUUAACUCUGAUUGCGAGUUGCGGCUCUAUCGAGCCAGGUUUUCCCAAGAAAGCCUGGGUAUGUUCAGCGAGCUUCGUGGUAUAGGGCACUGGUGUGCUGUGAUUAGCCGUUGCAAGCCGUUUUGGAAAUCUGCCCCAUAUGACAUCAUAUGGGGCAGGAAGUGGGCGUGCGUCAACCUAGAUGUGUGCUGGAUAAAUCAGUCCACCAGCCUACCCAGUGGACUGAAGCAAAUGUUGCUCAUCUAUCCGUCACACAUCUAGGUGGACACGCACACCUAAGGGGCCGAUUUCCAAAACGGCUUGUAACGGCUAAUCACACCACACCUGGUAGCAUGUCAUGGCACCUUUUACUAACUCUUACUUCUGUCAACAGGCAGGGGUGUGUUUGCUCUGUCCCCUUUUGAAAAGGGGGAUUUUGUAGUUGAAUACAGAGGAGAAAUUAUUGACUUUAAGGAAUCAGAGAGAAGGAGGAGGAUUUAUCAUUCCAAAUGCUUGGUGUUCGUGUUUGACUUCAUGUGGCAUGGCAAAAAAUGGUGCGUUGAUGCUGCGUUGGAAGAUGACUCAUUUGGAAGACUGGUCAAUGAUAAUCAUGUCCAUCCUACCAGCAGGAUGAAAAGAAUUUUAGUUGGUGGAAAACCACACCUCUGUCUGUUUGCUGCGAGAGACAUAAACAGAGGAGAGGAAAUAACAUAUGACUAUGGAGAUAGCAGUUGGCCAUGGAGAGAAAAGGGUGGUGGUGGCGAUUCUCAUGACAUAUCCGUGGACAAUGGUAUCUUGCCAUGCAGCUCCAACCCAGUGAUGCAAGAAGAAGAGGUUUCACCCUCCAGCUUGCAGGGUGGUGGUGGCGAUUCUCAUGACAUAUCCGUGGACAAUAGUAUCUUGCCAUGCAGCUCCAACCCAGUGAUGCAAGAAGAAGAGGUUUCACCCUCCAGCUUGCAGGUUUGCAGUGGAGACACAUAUUUAAAGAACAGCUCCUCUGUAUGCAGCUCCACCAUGGUGUCACAAGACACAACGUUUGCCAAAGAAGCCAAGUUAAGCUUGGUAAACUACACAGACUCGGAUGAAUCAGCCGUCAGUUCCAACGCUAAUGAAGAUGUUCCCUCAUCCACCAUACAGAGCAAAGAGAAGAUUCCUGUUGGAUUUGAUCUUUCUGACUCCAGUAUGACACAUGGAGAUGAUGUCCGACAAUUGAUUGUGCCAAGGCUUAGGAGGACCAAAAGCGUCUUUAUGAAAGACAGGAUUCCUGAUGGAUCUGAUGAGCUUUAUUGCACCAGUACUGAUAGUGGGGAAGAAUACGUUCCAGCUUCAAUUGCAGAAAGUACAGAUGAUACAGAUGGAAGCAUGAUCUGUGAAAUGUCACCAUCUAUGUCACCAUCAUCCUUGUCAGACAGGACUCUGAGUAGCAGAAGCAGUGCAACAAAUGUCUGUAUUCCUGACACCACAUGCUCUCCUAGCAGGGAACAUGUUGAAAGUGCCUCAGUAUCCAUUCCUGCUGUCAGAAAGAAAGAAGAUGGAUCUCGGAUGUACAACAAGAGACAGUUCUGUCUGUAUUGCGGGUCUUCUUUCCUAAAAAUCGUGAAGCAUUUGGAGCGUAAACACAAAAAGGAGCUGGAGGUAGCAAAAGCACUUAGUUUCCCAAAGGGCUCAAAACAAAGACGCGUGCACUUAGAAUGUCUCCGAAACAAAGGUAAUUUUGCACAUAAUGCUGAAGUUUUGAAAACGGGCACAGGAAAACUGGUUGCACGCAAGCAGCCAAGAGAAGAAUCCCAAGCACAAGACUACAUGCACUGUCUCUACUGUCAAGGGUUAUUUAUGAAACGUACAAUGUGGAGACAUUUUCAGAUUUGCAAAUUCAAACCUGUCGAUCCCAAACCGGGAAAAACUAGAGUCCAAGCCCUCUGUGCCUUUGCAGAACCCACACCUGCUGGAGUUUCGGAAGAGCUAUGGAAACUGGUGAACAACAUGAACCAGGAUGCUGUUGCACAUGCAGUCAGAAAUGACUGGUGCAUCAUGGAGAUGGGGAAGCACCUCUACAACAAGCAUGGAUUUGAAGUUGAUAAGCACGAAUAUAUCCGGCAAAAGUUAAGGGAGCUUGGCAGACUUUGCUUACAUGGUGGAGAGGUCACAAACAUGAAGACGAUCAAAGAAUAUGUCAUACCAGCGAACUUCAUGCAGACAGUCGAUGCAGUGAAACACACAGCACAAGGCAAUAAAGGUAAUUCCAAAUCGCUUCCUCUGAAACUUGGACACAGCCUCAAGAGGAUGUCUAUGCUCCUGGAGAGUGAUGCAAUCAUUAAAGGAGACAAGGAUGGCGCAGAAGAAGCUCGAGCCUUUCGAAAUCUGUAUGAUGCCAAAUGGCACGAGCUUGUGUCAGUCACAUCUUUGAAGAGCCUCAAUGAGUCCAAGUGGAACGCCCCCCAGCUGCUGCCUUUCACAGCAGAUGUGCAGAAGUUGCACAAUUAGCUGGAUGAGAAGCAACAGCAGUACCAACAUGAUUUAGAAUCUGAGGCGUCAUCGCACAACUGGGCCACCCUGGCAAAGGUGACUCUCGCACAGGUUAUCUUAUUCAACCGGCGUAGAGAAGGUGAGGUGUCCAAAAUGUCCCUCUCUGCAUUCACAUCAAGAGACACAUCAGCACCUCACGAAGACGUCAACCUCGCUCUCUCUGAGCUCGAGAAAAAGCUCUGCCAUCAUUUUACCAGAAUAGAAAUGAGAGGAAAGCGAGGUAGGAAAGUUGCUAUCCUCCUAAGCCCAGUGAUGUAUGAAGCACUCAACAUGCUACAUCAAAAGAGAAAGGAGUGUGGCGUCCUCAAAGAAAACGCAUAUGUGUUUGCCAGACCAGGAGUGAUGUCGCACUACAGAGGGUCAGAUUGCAUCCGCCAGUUUGUCCAACUCUGUGAUGUCAAGAAUCCUCUCUCACUCACCUCAACAAGACUGAGGAAGCACAUGGCUACCUUAUCUAAAGUACUAAACCUUCAGGAGACAGAGCUUGACCAGCUGGCGGAUUUCAUGGGCCACGAUAUUAGAGUGCAUCGGCAGUUCUAUCGGUUACCGGAGGGCACCCUUCAACUGGUCAAGAUCAGUAAAAUUCUGAUGGCCAUGGAGCAGGGCCGCCUUGCAGACUUUCAAGGCAAGAGCCUUGAGGAGAUCAACAUUGAUCCGACUGAAACAAUCCAGUUGGACAAGCAUACGGAGUCUGAAGAUGACCUUACAGAGGAGGUGUAUGAACAAGACAUGGAAGUUUCUGAUGUCAGUCUGGCACGAAGCAUGGAGCAGAAACGAAGUGGGUCUCCACAAGAAAAUGAAGGGGAGAGUAAUUCCGAUGGAGACGACAUCCCUGUCCAAAAGAAAAAGUCCAAGACCAUUCGCAAGCCACAGAAGAAGAGGCCCUGGGAAACUGAGGAGACAAAUGCCGUUGAAAAGCACAUGAGGAACUUCAUUUUGACCUGCAAUGUUCCAAGAAAGGAAGACUGUGAUAAGUGCCUUAAAUCAGAGCCAGAAGCACUAAAAAAUAGAGACUGGAAGGCACUCAAAUUCUACAUCAAAAAUAGAAUUACUGCACUAAAAAGGAAAAUGUAAAACAUUUCAGUUUUCAUCAGGUACAAUAGAGAGAAAUGGGGGAGAGGGGGACAGGAGAUAGAGUGAGGGGGGGGGGGACCAUAGAGAGAAGGAAGGAGGGAGGGAGGGAGGGAGAGAGGGAGGGGGGGGACCAUAGAGAGAAGGGGAGAGGGAGGGAGAGAGAGAGGGGGAGAGAGAGAGGGAGAGAGAGGGAGAGAGGGGGAGAGAGGGAGAGAGGGGGAGAGGGAGGGAGAGAGAGACCAUAGGGAGAGGGAGGGACCAUAGGGAGGGAGAGAGUGAGGGGGGACCAUAGGGAUAGAGGGGGAUAGAGAUUCCUUGUUCAGAAUCUUGUCGGGCGGUUCAUAGGCCUACUGUAUUUGAGUUGACACUCAAUAAAGAGCUUUUAAAGUAUGUUCAGGUGAUCUAAUUCUAAUUCAUGUGUAGAAACAUCAUCUAUCUAUAAAUGGCUGUCUGUCUGUGGCUCGUAUAUCUCUCUGACCAUAUGUCAGAUCGGCCUAAAAUUUCGGAUAUGGCUUGCGCAUGGGCCGAUGGUGUGCAUCCUCAAUUGAAAAAAAAAAAUUCAAAACCUUUUAUGAAAUGAUUUUACA